CACUCCUACGGGAGGCAGCAGUGGGGAAUAUUGGACCAUGGGCGCAAGCCUGAUCCAGCCAUGCCGCGUGAGUGAUGAAGGCCCUAGGGUUGUAAAGCUCUUUCACCGGUGAAGAUAAUGACGGUAACCGGAGAAGAAGCCCCGGCUAACUUCGUGCCAGCAGCCGCGGUAAUACGAAGGGGGCUAGCGUUGUUCGGAUUUACUGGGCGUAAAGCGCACGUAGGCGGACUAUUAAGUCAGGGGUGAAAUCCCGGGGCUCAACCCCGGAACUGCCUUUGAUACUGGUAGUCUUGAGUUCGAGAGAGGUGAGUGGAAUUCCGAGUGUAGAGGUGAAAUUCGUAGAUAUUCGGAGGAACACCAGUGGCGAAGGCGGCUCACUGGCUCGAUACUGACGCUGAGGUGCGAAAGCGUGGGGAGCAAACAGGAUUAGAAACCCGAGUAGUCCCAUGA
rnacentral:rRNA from 1 species